rnacentral:rRNA from 1 species
UUUGGUGGUCAUAGCAGAAGCAAAACACCCGAUCCCUUCCCGAACUCGGAAGUUAAGUGCUCUAACGCCAAUGGUACUGCAUCUUAAGGUGUGGGAGAGUAGGUAACCGCCAAAC